UUCGAACUGGCUUGACUGUUUUUCCUUCUCAGGUUGGGUGCGACGCUUUUCAGCCAUACCAGCCCAGGACAGCCUGAAUAGUAGUGUUAUACAUAGUCUGAAAGAGCCUCUCUAUCCCUAUAACCUUUUGACUGACGCUAGAUUUCAAUAGGUUUCCAUAGAGGGGGGGGGGGGGAAUAAACCCCACAUCGAGCCAGUUUUGAGAGAGCUAUGAUAGUAUUGAUAGACAGGAAAUUUCCCCUUAUCGAAUUGACGUGGCUUAGAAUAGAAUUGUAAACGUGCUUCAGUAGCGUCUAUACAUUUAAUUAAUUUUAUAGGGAACUGUUUAGUGUGCAAGCAGUUACAAGUAGGCCGACUUGAUAUAGUCGCUCACCCAACACUUAAUUUUUUCUUGGCUAGGUCGCUGGGCGUAUUGUUUUAUUUAGAUGUUGAUAAUUUACUCAUAUAUACAGAGAGGUGUUCUUUGGGGCUUUUUUUUAAUGACCGAUGUUCUAAAUGAGUAGCAUUUCGGAAAAGAAGUUAUAUUAUAUGACGUGGUAUUGUUUGUGGAGAAAAUUAGGAAGGAAUAUUAUUAAGAUUAACUGAUUCCAAUGCUGCCGUGAAAUUCCGCCUGCUCCUAGUGUGUUCACGUCAUCUUUUCAGUGACGAAUGUUAUAUUUUUAAGUUACAUAUUGUGAACUUUAAAAAAGGCAGCAGACUUAACUAUACUAUCAUUAAGUGCACUUAUCAUGAGAAAAAAAAUGUUCUCAAGUGAAAAGCCGGGUGUUGUAUCACUUUUUUAGAGCUGUGAGGAACCGAGCUCUUACGCAAAGCAAGCAGGCACCGGGAAUACUCUUAUCAAACUUCGGCAGUUAUAUGACCUUAUUGUGUUGCAAAAGAAGCAAAACUCUUACCGCAACCAACAACAACAAGAAAAACAACAACAACAA